GACGAACGCUGGCGGCGUGCUUAACACAUGCAAGUCGAACGGACAGACCCUGCUUUUGUGGGGUGCUCGAGUGGCGAACGGGUGAGUAACACGCGUGUAACCUGCCCUUGACUUUGGGAUAACUUCAGGAAACUGGGGCUCAUAUCGCAUAGGAGCUCCUGCUCCAUGGUGGGGGUUGGAGAGUUUCGGCGGUUGUGGCUGGACUCGCGGCUUAUCCGCUUGUUGGUGGGGUAGUGGCUUACCAAGCCUUUGACGGGUAGCCGGCCUGAGAGGGUGACCGGCCACAUGGGGACUGAGAGACGGACCAGACUCCUACGGGCGGCAGCAGUCGGGAGUAUUGCAGAAUGGGCGGAAGCCUGAUGCAGCAACGCCGCGUGCGGGAUGACGGCCUUCGGGUGGUAAACCGCUGUGGCAGGUGACGAAGCGUGAGUGACGGUAAUGGGUAAGGAAGCACCGGCUAACUACGUG
rnacentral:rRNA from 1 species